AGAGAGAGAGAGAGAGAGAGAGAGAGAGAGAGAGAGAGAGAGAGAGAGAGAGAGAGAGAGAGAGAGAGAGAGAGAGAGAGAGAGGAUAUAGUAAGGGAGGGUAGGUGAUAUGAUUGGUGUAGAAAUUAAAGAGAGAAAGAGAGAGAGAAAAGAAAAUAGCUUCAAUUAGGCAUAAUUUUUUUUUUAUAUAUACAUUUCACUGCUGUUGUUGUUGUUUAUGUUGCUAUAAGAGAAAUACUCGACAGGCCUGCCAUUAUUCUAUGUUAUAUUCAUACAUACAUACAUACAUAUACUCCUAUACAUAGAUACAUACAUAAAUGCGUUCUUGAGUGUGUCAUUCGAUAACUGCUGUAUAAUCAUCGAGAGAGAGAGAGAGAGAGAGAGAGAGAGAGAGAGAGAGUUGUUUUAUUUAAUUUUUGUGUUUGUUUGUUUGUUUGUUUGCCUUGUUCUGUUCGUUCGUUUGUUUGUGUUGUGCAAUAAGGUUGAAAGAGUUGUCUGUUUGAUGAAGGGAACCGCCUCUAUUGAUUCCGUUUCUUUGUUUUGUUGUAUUUUAUUUGUUGCAUUAAUUUCAUAUGUAAUAAUUCUGUUUCUCAUUUAAUUUUCCUUAUUUUCUUGUUAUUUUCUCUUCUUCCUUACGUAAUUUUAAACUUUUCUUUGUUUUCCUUCAAAUUAUUUAUCAUUUUGGCUCUUAUAAAUUUUCUUUUUCUCAGUAUCUCUUUUCUCCUUUAUUAACUUUAAAAAUCAACUCAUAUUAACCAAGUAUUUUUUAUAUUUCAUCAAGCAUAGAAUUUUUUUAAUUAAUCUCUAUUGCACUCUUUACAAUCCCUUCCUUUUCUUUUUCUUUUAUGAAUCUGCAAACUGAUCCCUUUGUGUUCCCUUUAUAUGGUUUCCAGCACACUUAUUGUCUCCUUUUGUUGAACUGAACCCCAUUUGUGUUCCCGUGAGUGUAUCUAAUGUUUUGUUUAUUUAUUCAUUGUCUGGUUUGUUCUUUGUUAUUUUUUAUACUUCCAUUUUUAUGUAUGUAAAUCUGUGUUGUAUUGUCAAGUGCUGUGCAAUUUUUAUACUUUUCCUCGCCAAAAAAGCAAAACUGUUAUCUCUCUGUGGCUCAAACAUGGCUGCCAGACGUAAUAUUGUGUGCUUUUUAUUUAUUUAUUUUUUUUUUUGCAAACUUCAGUCUUUUGAGAAACUUAUGUAGUGCUGUGAAUUUCUAACUCUCAAGUUUUCCAAUAUAACAAGAAAACAUUUACUGAUAUAUUCUGGUGCAAUAUUCAAGAUUCUCACCAAGGAAUGAAUAGAUUGAUAAAUAGAUGAAUAAAAUCUUCUUCUUAAUGUCAUAUUUCUAGUGCAAUACUGAAAAUUCUCACCAAUCAAUACUCAUUUUUCUAGCUAACAUUAAAUUUAAUGCAUAUGGAACUCUAAUAUAAGUUAACAUUUACCUACUGCCAUAUUUUUAGUGCAAUAUUACAAUUCUCAUUAUUUUUAAUCACUUCUUUGCUAUGGUGUGAAACAUAAAUCUCGUACAGAAUAUUCAACCACUUUUAAUCAGGUAUUUUUGAGUGUUUUCUUUUACGUCUGGCAACACUGUGAGCCAUGAGAAGAAGGAUGUCAGAUGCGUGAUGAGUGUCGUACUUUUCGAAUUCUGGCUUCUCCGCAUGCUACCAAAUGCUAUAGUCCUUUCAGAUUAACUCGAGUGGCGUCCCUGUUCACUCCUACCCUUGUGCUUCCCCUUAGUUCACUUCAGAAGGAGGAGGAGGGAAGGAAGUGUAUCUAGCAAUCUAAUUAAGCAAAUAUAUAUAUAAAAAAAGGAGGGAAUAGGGAAGCUUAUCCAAUGAAUUAUAGUGAGAUGACUAUAGCUUCUUAAUUAUGCAGGUGCAAGUGUGUGUGUGUGUGUGUGUGUGUGUGUGUGUGUGUGUGUGUGUGUGUGUGUGUGUGUGUGUGUGUGUGUGUGUGCAAAGGCUGCCAACGGUAACAAGUGUAUUUAUUUUCUAUUUGCCCAUAACUUAAUUUGGAGUGAAAGAAUGACUCGUUUUUAUUUCUUUUCUUUUUAUACACACAAGCCUUUUUUUCUAAACUAAUAAACUGUUAACUAAG